rnacentral:rRNA from 1 species
GAUGAACGCUAGCGGCAGGCCUAAUACAUGCAAGUCGAACGGUAACAGGGAUAGCAAUAUCCGCUGACGAGUGGCGCACGGGUGCGUAACACGUAUGAAACCUACCCAUAACUUGAGGAUAGCCCGGAGAAAUCCGGAUUAAUACUCAAUGAUAUCAUUUGAGGGCAUCUGAGGAUGAUUAAAGAUUUAUUGGUUAUGGAAGGUCAUGCGCACGAUUAGCUAGUUGGUGAGGUAACGGCUCACCAAGGCGACGAUCGUUAGGGGACCUGAGAGGGUGAUCCCCCACACUGGUACUGAGAUACGGACCAGACUCCUACGGGAGGCAGCAGUAGGGAAUAUUGGGCAAUGGACGAGAGUCUGACCCAGCCAUGCCGCGUGCAGGAAGAAGGCCUUCUGGGUUGUAAACUGCUUUUGAUCAGGAACAAAAAGCCCAUGCGUGGGAAAUUGAGUGUACUGAUAGAAUAAGCACCGGCUAACUCCGUG